GAUGAACGCUGGCGGCGUGCCUAAUACAUGCAAGUCGAGCGAACGGACGAGAAGCUUGCUUUUCUGAUGUUAGCGGCGGACGGGUGAGUAACACGUGGAUAACCUACCUAUAAGACUGGGAUAACUUCGGGAAACCGGAGCUAAUACCGGAUAAUAUUUUGAACAGCAUGGUUCAUAAGUGAAAGACGCUCUUGCUGUCACUUAUAGAUGGAUCCGCGCUGCAUUGGCUAGUUGGUAAGGUAACGGCUUACCAAGGCAACGAUGCAUAGCCGACCUGAGAGGGUGAUCAGCCACACUGGAACUGAGACACGGUCCAGACUCCUACGGGAGGCAGCAGUAGGGAAUCUUCCGCAAUGGGCGAAAGCCUGACGGAGCAACGCCGCGUGAGUGAUGAAGGUCUUCGGAUCGUAAAACUCUGUUAUUAGGGAAGAACAUAUGUGUAAGUAACUGUGCACAUCUUGACGGUACCUAAUCAGAAAGCCACGGCUAACUACGUG
rnacentral:rRNA from 1 species